CUCCCUAGCCGCCCCAACUCGCCGGUCGUCGCCUGAAGCGCCGGCAAGCAUCGCAAGAAACGACGCGACGCGCGCCCGCGACCCUUCGCCUUUCCGGCCGAAAUCCGGCCGAUCUGGCCACCAAUCGGAUCGGGUCUUGUGUCUAAAUCCAUCUACUCGUCAAGAGCUUUCCAUAGACACCAAGAACACUGAGCGGUUUGUCCAAUUUUUGCCCAGGAAGUUUUAGCCCAUUUUAAUUUUUGGGCUAGAUUUCUCGCAAACCGUGAACCCCACGAGAAAACCGAGAAUACCAGAGUACUCCACUCGUCAAGAGCUUCGCGGUAAUAUAAAUUUUGAAAUUUUUCGACACCGUUUUUCGGUGGGUCCCACGGAACUUCGCAGUGGUUUUUCGAGCAUUUAAUGAGCUUAGAAAAUUCCGUAAAAUUUAUGUACUAACCCCCGUGUUGUGGGCUUCGUGUAGGUAUCUUCAAUUCACGGAAAUUCAACAGUUGUCCGGGUCUGUGAAUUUCCAGCCAGAUAGAUCGGCCACCGAAAAAGUCUCCGAAUUGGAUCGAGAUUUUGGCUACCUCACCAUUGUCAGAUGUCUCGAGCGCGUCCCCUAAGUCGGAAUCUGCAUAGGUAAACCCGAACUUUACUUUUUCGUAAUUUUCUAGUGCUUGAAUGGGAUUAAAAAUCCGUAAAAUAUUUGUGGUAGCUCAGAAAAUUAUGAUUCUUUUUUUCAAUAGCCUAAUAAUAUUGCUAAGGACUGCGAGGCAAAGUUUUAGAAUUUUUAGAGCUUAUUUGGGCAGUUUUUGCAAAAAUGAUCAAUUAUAAGGACUAAACUGUAAAUUUACAUAUUGUGAUCUAUGACUGUUUGGAUGGGCCCAGGAGGGGCUGUGUGAUAUGAUUGAGUUGUGGGUGUAUGGUUGGUGAAUAUAGAAGUGCGUUUUGAGCCCUUUUGCAGGUUGGGUAGGUCAUAGGUAUAGGGGAGACUCUGCCGGAUUUUCGACACGACUUAGGACGUAUUUGGUCUUUUCUUAAGUUUGUAUUGAGUCCAAUUUACUAAAUAAUUGUAAUAAAAUUAUCAGGUGAGCCGGGACAGCCUUCUUCCUUUGCCCAGCCGCCACAGUGACCGCUGUCAAGUCUGCCACAGGAGGAUUUUAUUGUGGUUAACCUGCUUUUCUCCUUCGCAGGUUGUUUAUUAAUAUUUAUGUAAUUUUAUUAACUCCUAGAAUUUCCGUAUGUGUUAGAAGUAUUUAUCUGAUUUGGGUCUGUAAUAUAAAUUAUCAAUUUGGACCUGUAAACUUAUCAUUUUAUGCAUGUUUGAUGGAUUGGAUGAGGGAGCUGAGCUCCCAUUUAUAUUUUAUGACAUUUGAGUAUGUGAAGGGUGAGCUGAGCUCCCCAAUUGAUUA